rnacentral:rRNA from 1 species
UACGUAGGGUGCAAGCGUUAUCCGGAAUUAUUGGGCGUAAAGAGCUCGUAGGCGGUUUGUCGCGUCUGCUGUGAAAACCCGAGGCUCAACCUCGGGCCUGCAGUGGGUACGGGCAGACUAGAGUGCGGUAGGGGAGAUUGGAAUUCCUGGUGUAGCGGUGGAAUGCGCAGAUAUCAGGAGGAACACCGAUGGCGAAGGCAGAUCUCUGGGCCGUAACUGACGCUGAGGAGCGAAAGCUAGGGUAGCGAACGGG